rnacentral:lncRNA from 1 species
GCCCCUCAAGAAGUAGUUCCAGAAUGGAUGGCCCUUCCGUGGCGGACAAUCUGAGACUGACCAGUGACAAUCCUUGGGAAUAGGCCUUGACAUCUAUGAUUACAGGACCUGUAACUGUGAUAAAAUUGGAGAAUGUUCAUCUUUGUCCUCAUCCCAUCUGGCAAAUUUGCUUAUGUGGAACAUUCACUCUCUGAUAGCAUCCAAUAAAUAAACUGUGGCUGCAAUUCUACAGUGGUAAGCCCUGAAUGCAUCUGAUUAAAUAAAGAUGGGCUCAAGAACAACUCACACUAAGCACAGUUCUGAACCCAAGUAAGAACAAAGACAUUUCCGUUUCCAAUAAUCAUCUAUUAAAGUUGGGCCAGGGCAUCAUGCAUCUGGCCCAGGAUUCAUGUUGAGCACUGGUGACAUGGUCCCCAGGAGUAGCUGCAAAGUCAAGGACAGCACAGAGUACAGUAUACUUUCAAUGUGAUCAGCAGUGAGGUAUUUCCUGGAAACCACUUCAUGAGAAAAAGCAGUCCAAGGCCAUUAGCAGAACAUUUUUCCAAACUCACAUGGAUCCCAUGAGUAGGUACGGGGUACUGGGGUUAGGUACCAUCCCACAAACGCCUAUGUGUUAAAAUCUAUGGUUGCUCUUCAAAGAUGAUGGAAACGUUAUGAGGCAGGAACUAGCAAGGAAGUUAGGUCUGUAGGAGCAUAACUCUGAAGAGGUUAUUAGGACACUAUAGCUUAUCAAGCUAUAGAAAACUUACCAUGAUGUGAUUGCUACCUCAUCACAGUUCCAAACAACAUGUUAAAGGGACCACAGACUGAAAUCUCUAGAACUGGGAGGUAAGAUAAACGUUUCACCUUUUAAAAUGUAUUAUUUUAGGUGUUUUGUUACACUAAUGGAAAGCUGACUCACAUAAAGGUAAAGUUAAAUGUGUUUAUUACAUGUACAAAAAAAUCCACUUUGAUAAGUCUGGUAUAGGCUCUGAAUAGUUUGUAUCAUAUCUAAGGAUAUUCUCUGUUUUAUUUGCUUGAUAAGGAACAAAAAGCAUCAGAAACUAUAAUGCCGGAGAAUUUCCAUGUCUUUAGACAAGAGGCAUUGAAUGUAACUCUACAGUUUUAACAGCAUUUAGUUUAGCAGCAUUUAACACUCAUGUGUUUUUCUUCUUAAAUAUUAGUUUAAUUUAUGUAUAUAAAUGGUUACCUGAAUAGAUAUAUGUGUAUCAUGCACGUAGAUUGCUUGUGAAAGUCAGAAGAGAGUGUCAAAGUCACUGAGGCUAGAGUUAGAUAGUUAUAAGCUGCCAUGUGGGUGCUGGGAACUGAACCCAUAUCCUCUGCAAGAGCAACAUGUGAUCAUAACUGCUGAGCCAGCUCCAGCCCCCACUACAACUCGCUUCUGUCUAUCUACUCAUAUGCUUUAUUUACUGUUCCUUGAAUUCUUCUUACAUAACAUAGUAAGCAAUGUACUUUUUAAACACAUUGUUCUUGAUGGUGAACAGGGCCCAGUUUUACACUGGGCUUUUCUAUAAUGGGGAUGGUAUUAGCUUGUUCAAAUGACACAUUUUACAGGAAUGGAACGAUUAGCAAACAGUUACCAAGAAUUCAUGAAAUGUAACUUUAAGAUGUGUUAAAAUGUACAACUGAGAGUCAUCUCAUUUCAUUUACUGUAUCCAUAAUAUAUAUUAUGUAUAUGUACUGUACCCAUUAUAGUAUCUUCAUUGACUUAGAUUUAUUCUUCAUGUUCUACCAAGGACUGAUAUCAGCUGCGACUGUAUAUGGAAAAGGCACUCCCAUUCAGGAUUUUCAAGGCACUCGUAUCUUAAUUAACAGAACUUAUAUCCAAUGAAUACUAAACUCAUUUAAAUUUCAAUAAAAUUAAAUGUCCAUGCUUACACAGUCUGCAAAACAACAACAAAAGCAAAUAUCCAAGUGAAGAACAUCACUGAAGUAGCCAUGCUCCCUGAACAAUUAAACUUAAACGGUAUGAUUUCAACAACUGUCAAGAGGCAUUAGUGACCAAA